UGGGGAAUAUUGCACAAUGGGCGCAAGCCUGAUGCAGCGACGCCGCGUGGGGGAUAACGGCCUUCGGGUUGUAAACUCCUUUCGCCAGGGACGAAGCGUUUUGUGACGGUACCUGGAGAAGAAGCACCGGCUAACUACGUGCCAGCAGCCGCGGUAAUACGUAGGGUGCAAGCGUUGUCCGGAAUUACUGGGCGUAAAGAGCUCGUAGGUGGUUUGUCACGUCGUCUGUGAAAUUCCACAGCUUAACUGUGGGCGUGCAGGCGAUACGGGCUGACUUGAGUACUGUAGGGGUAACUGGAAUUCCUGGUGUAGCGGUGAAAUGCGCAGAUAUCAGGAGGAACACCGAUGGCGAAGGCAGGUUACUGGGCAGUUACUGACGCUGAGGAGCGAAAGCAUGGGUAGCAAACAGGAUUAGAUACCCUGGUAGUCCAUGCCGUAAACGGUGGGCGCUAGGUGUAGGGGCCUUUUGGGGUUUCUGUGCCGUAGCUAACGCAUUAAGCGCCCCGCCUGGGGAGUACGGCCGCAAGGCUA
rnacentral:rRNA from 1 species